UACAGAGGGUGCAAGCGUUGUUCGGAAUUAUUGGGCGUAAAGGGCGCGUAGGCGGUUCGGCAAGUCUCUAGUGAAAUCUCAGGGCUCAACUCUGAGUCUGCUGGGGAAACUGCCGGGCUUGAGUGUGGGAGAGGAGAGUGGAAUUCCCGGUGUAGCGGUGAAAUGCGUAGAUAUCAGGAGGAACACCGAUGGCGAAGGCAGAUCUCUGGGCCGUAACUGACGCUGAGGAGCGAAAGCGUGGGGAGCGAACAGG
rnacentral:rRNA from 1 species